rnacentral:lncRNA from 1 species
AUGACCAAAACACACCUGCUUCAGGAGACUCCUGCUCUGUCCUUGCUUCCUUCUUCUCCCACCACUGUGCUGGAGAUGACACAUUUCAGCCAUCCAGGCUCCAAUGUUAGUGCAGCUGCUACAGAAGCAGAAGCCUCCAGCAUGACAGCAGCAGGGAUCUUCCCUUCCUGUUUGUUUUAUUUUAAAUCAGUUACCAUUCAUGCCUGCAAAGCAAAAUUAGCAGCUCCAUCUGCCAGUGGAUACAAGCUGGAGGAAGUGCUGAGCACACUGAACUUCUCAGACCUAAGGCUGAAACAGAGGAUUAAAGUGACACUGGGGAGAUCCCUGUCUCACAGAGGACAUAGGAGUUGACCUGGAUCUCUUUCCUGUGUCACUGCUCCUUGUUUAAUUGAAGGGCUUCUCACAGUCAGAUAACAGAAGUGGCCUUGUAUGAAAGAACAUGUCUGGAUCAGAGGGAAUCACACUAGGAAAACCACAGGUUUUAGAGAGGGGCACAGUAGCAUUUGUCAUGGAACUGUCCAGGGAACAGCUUAUCAGUUGAGGUAAAUUGAAGUAAAGUACACACUCUGAAUAGUGUAUCUGUAUAGUUAAAUUAUAAAAACGCCUACUUAAUUACAUUAAAUUUUUUGCUGCUGGAUAUAGUGGAGAAGUGUUUAAAAUGGAGUCACUAACUAUGAGAGAAAGAGGGAAGAAAAACGCAGAGCUUUUUACAUUUUGAGAUAAGCCAACAGGGAAAAGAUUUAGGUACUUCUCACUAUUUGUCACACACCGUCAAGGUACCCAUGCUAACAUGGGUUACAGCUCAAGUACUAGCAAUAGUGGGACUGCAUUGCAGAGGAUAACCUGUUCUCACAGGCCACAUCAAAUCCACACUGUCACAGCCUGCUAUUAGUAAUUAUAAUAGAUGAUUCUAAUUAGUGUUUAGGCUUCAAAGAAUUUUAAGUGUGAAAGAAAGGCAGACUACAGGAAGGGUUGGCAGGCAUAGCUUGGAAAGCACUCAGGAACUGCCUGGCAGGAGAGGCUUGGUGGAUUUUGCAACAGGCUUCCCUGAGCCCUUGGUCUCAUUGCAUUAUGAGGAAACAGAGAGAAAGGGGCUUUUACAGUGCAAUGACUGCUUUGGAGAAGAUAAACAUGACUUUCAUUUUGUUUCCUGAGCCUGAGGGUCAACAAGGAAACAGAAGAUGGAAAGACAGAUCACUCCCCUGUCACCAAGCUUUCAAAAUCCAGGAAAUUAAGGAUCCAAUUUUAACCCCAUUUUAAAUAAGCCCUUUUGAAAGUUGGUGGAAGUUUUGGGAGCAUGUAUGUGACCUUAUGGGGAAAGUUCUGCUCUAGAAGAAUGAAUGGCACAAUGAACAGGAUGAAGAGUACUACCCAGGCAGGUAUACACCCACUUUCCAGAUCUACUUUAUUGUCUCCUCCUACAGGGAACAUUACUCCUCUCUGUGGUGGAAGAAUAUUUGCAGCCAUUCCACUAAAAUAAUCUUGUUUGCUGCUUUCACAGCUACUAGUGAUUGAGCUAUUACCACACAUCACCAGCCAAGGAACAAAAGAAGAGCCAGCAGCAUUUCUGGAAGUCAUGUAGGUGUACAAGAAGUGUGGGUAGCAGAUGCUGGUGUCAAACUUUCUAAUUGAGAUGGAAAAGUUAACAUGAAUACCAGGGAGAGGCCAGAAGUGGUUUUAGGAGGCAGAGAUCCUCUUAGCCUCCACCAUGCUCUUGCAAGCUUUCCAGUUUGAUGGGUAACUGGCCACGAGAGUCAAAAGUGCAUGGUGCCUUGAGGCAUUUGCAGGACAACUCAAGUUCAUUUUCUUCUCAGCCAGGCUGCAAGAAUAAGAGAUGCUCCUGUGGGAACAAAUCUGCAGAGGGGAUAGUAGCAAACAUUAAUGGGAAAUGGAUAAGUUCAGUUGAGACUGGAGGUCAAGAGAGCUACAGGAGAUGAGCUGUAGAGAAAUUCUAAUGAAAAAUGAGUACAGAUAAUUGGAUACUUGGAAAGAUGCAGACAAAAUAAGCUUAUGUUUAAGGCUUGUUUUCUUUUGACUGAAUCAUUUCUGUGAGCUGGGAACAGUGGGUGCAUAAAGCAUUAAGAUCCUGUGGCCAGUUUCGUUCUGCCUUGGAAACUCAGCAAAGAAAAUUCUGACUAUGUCUCUAUUGGUACAACUGUGUUUUCUGUGGAUGACGAACACGUAAAUAUAAUUAAUUACAAGGCCACAAAAAUUGUGAAAUACAAACUUCAAAAUACUUCCUUAAUAAACUUCUAACCGUUGGAGAAAACAGUAACUUUUAAGGAAUACUGUAGGAAACAAACCUUGAAAGUGAACUCCCGCAGUAUGUUGAUCUCUCCUGUCUCUCCCACAGGUCCAUUUAGAUACAGGUCUAUCUGUUGUCAUCACAAAAACUGUGGCUAGGAAAAGAGAUUGCUAGGCAAUUACAGAAAGAUUGUUCUUAUCCUUGCAGUUAUGUCUUCACUAGGUUUGCUCAACAAGUCACUGCACAAUGGUCUUUUGCAGAGUUGGUUUCUACUUGAAGCUGUACAAGCACUGCUGCAGCUGCAGUGUGCCCACUCCUUGGGUCUUGCAUUGCUGCUUUCCUAAAUGC